rnacentral:tRNA from 10 species
GUUUAAAUGGUGCCCUCAGUUCAUCUAAGAAAGAGGAACAGAAAGAAUGAGCUCAUGGGGAUCAAAGAUGUGGCACUCCCAGAAGCAUGUGAGAGCUUCAGGCCUAACUUGUGCAUAACAGAGUUGAAGAGCUGACACGGUGCUUACUAACUCAUCAGAAGCAGAAGCGCCCUGGUGAUUCUAUGCCACACCACCAUUCCCCAGGAAAAUGUUCUCCACUGAGACAAAAUCCUUAAAUUUUUAGAAUGGCCUUAUUAUGGAUUACAGCAAACAUCUCAGCACAUCUUUCUCAGCAAGGAUCUCAAAACAGCAUUGGGAUGGCCUUAUUAAUAGAUCCCUUACGAAAACUCAGAAAAGUUAGAGAGGCACUCAGAAUCUUCCUAAAAUAUGAAAUGUUGAAAUCUGGAUUCUUUUUUUACCAUGACUGCAAAAUGUAAGCCACUACUUGGGCUCACCUUGUUGAAUCAGAUUUCUUCUACUUUGCCAUUUUGAUGAUAUCACUCCCAGAGAGGAAAGAAGAAAGAUGAGAGGGAAAGCUAAGAAAAGGUGAGAAGAAAGGGUCAGGAGGAGAAAUGCAAAGAGACUGGGAUAAUUUUUUGGACCAUACCUUCUCUGCUGGCAGCUUACUGUGACUGCACCAUCCAAAAUUUGGUAUAAGGAUUUGGAAAUUUGACCAAUAUUUCUUAGAAGUUGACCGCAGGAAACUGAAACUGCAAAAGUAGAAACCAUGGAAAAGGGAAGACUGCUGUAUACAAUUCAGCCUCAAGGACAAUAUAUUAAUUAGCUAUUGCUACAACAGUGCUGUGUAAAGAACAAACCCAAAACACGGUGGCUUACAAAAACACAAGUCUGCAGGAGAUUUGUAGUUUACUGGGCUCAGUAGUUAUCAACUGGGCUUAGUUCCAGUCUGCAGGAUAGGAUAAGGUCAUUUUUUUUUCUUACUCGGGAGCAAAGUUGAUUACUUGGGGCAUUUUCUAUUCAUCAAAGAAGGCAGCAACAUAAAAGACCAACUCAAACCAUGCAAGUAUAUUUAAAACUGUAUUUGCAUCACAUCGACAAACAAUCCUUUCAAUAAAACAAGUCACAUGUACAAACUCAAGGCUAAUGGGGAGACCAUGUGCACUUUACAUCUUUACUGGCAGGCCUUUCUGAAUCACAUGACAAAGAGUGUGACUAAAUAGUCUGCAAAGGGGAUGGAGUGAAGACUUUGGGAAAAUGAUUAAAUCUAUCAUAGCUAACAUCUUACAUCAUGUGGAAACAUUAGAGACCUUCUACUAAUGUCAGAAACAAGAAAACAGUAUACUUGAUCUCCAGCACCGUAUUUAAUAUUGUGAUGGCAGUAUUAAUGAAUACGAUUAGACAAGAAAAUUCAUUAGAAACAUGAGAAUUGGAGGGAAAGAGGUAAAACUUUAUCAGAUUAUAUAUAAAAUCCAAAAAAUAAAAAACUACAAUAAAAACAGUAACUUAAUAAAGCAUUAAGUUGUUCAGUUAAUAUGUAAAAAUCAACAGCCUUUAUUUAUCCAACAAAAACUUAAUAGAUGAUAUUAUGGAAGACAAAAUAAUAUAUUGUAACAGCAAAAAUAAAAAUAAAAUACCUGGGUGUAAAUUUUACAAAAGAUGUCCCAAAGUUCUAUGAAGAGGAUAUUUUACACCUGAAAAACAUAAACAAAAAAUUUCAGAUUUGGAGCAGGACAAAUUGGUUAUAAGUUUCAAUUAAAACAAUAAAUAAUUAAAACUAUUAAGCAAAAUUCUGAAAAAGAAAAAUAACAAAAGGACCUGAAGGUUAGCCCUAUUAGGCAUUAAACAUAUCAUAAUGCCUCUAUUAUAACUGAGUUUGUCCAGGAAUUUAAUGAGUAAAUAGGCUAAUGUAAAACUACUGAAAACCCACAAGAGAAAUAAUUUCUUAUGAAAAUUUAGUAUAUGAUAAAUGUGGCAUCUUAAAUUAGUGAAGAGAGGGAUUUUUUUUAAUAUGAGCUAUUUUAAUAUGCUAUAUCAAAGUGCAUAAUGGAUCAUUUUUCACUUCAUUUUAGAAUAAGUUCCAAAUGCAUCAGAGAUUUGUAAAAGCAAAACAAAAAUAAUAUAAUGAGACCUUUCAAGUACUAGAUGAAAACCUGAGUGACUCUAUUUAAAAUUUUGGAAAAUAGAUUACUUUUCUGACUAUAAAAUAAAAAAUGAUAAUAGAAGCCAUGGAUAAGUUUCGCUUAAAAGAUUUUACAAUAUUUGCAUGGCAAUAAUACUAUAAGCAAAGUAAAAAUACAAAAUCAAACUGACAUCUAUUUUUUAUAACUUAUACCACAGAAAAAAAGAGUUAAUAUCUUAAAUUUGUAAAGAUUGAAUACAAUCCAAAUGUCCAUUGGUAAAGGUCUGGUUGAAUAAAUAACCACACAGUGGAAUAUUAUAUAGUUGAAAAAAAGAAUUAGGACAAUUUCUAUAUUCUGUUAGAUCUCCAGGAUAUGUUAUUAAAGAAAAAUUGCAAGCUGGAAAAAAAUAUAUGGGGAUGCUACCUUUUAUUUAAGAAAGUGGUAUUUGAAGGUCAAUGUAUAAUAAUUUAUUUAAAACAAUACAGCAAUGGCAGGAUAAGCUCUACAUUAAAAAAAAGUUUAUAGGAGGGAGAAAGCAGAGUGGAAGGCUCCCUAUGAGAAGCUAGCUUUUUAAAAAUAUACCUUAAUAUAUAGAUUUGACCUUGUAACUAGAUAAAUAUUUUAUGUAAUUUUAUUAAAAGACAAUAUUUAAAAUAUAGUUUCUCAUAAUUGAAAAUGAAAUAAAUUAUAUAAAAAAAUAGUCUGUACAGUGGUGGAAAACCAUACAGAAAAUACUAAACUAAUAAUUUAAGGUAAUUUGACUGUACUGAGAUAUACCCUGAGGACACAAUUAACUGAAACAUUUUUUAAUAUUUUGUUGGAUAUAGUAUUGAUUUUAUAAUUUUGGGGCUGUUUUGUCUCAUAAAUAAAAUGAAUAAUUAUUUGGAUAUCAUUUAAAAUGUGGAGUUUCAGCAUAUUUUAAAAGGAGAUAUAAAUGUAAGGUCAAUGAAACUAAGUAAAAUUACAUUCUGUGUUUGAAUUGAAAAAAUAUCAGAAUAAACCUAUGGUGACAUAAACAAAAGCAAAGUUGACUUCUAGCUUUGCACACUGAAAACAUCUAGAAACAAUGGCUAAUCUAAUAGUAAUGAACUCCUCUAACAUACAGAUUAUGGUCUCUAAUUACCAUUUUCUGUCAAAAAAUGAAUCAAGAAUCCUUUGCUAAUUGCAGUUGUGUCACAGUUGAUUGGAGCAUCUUGUCAUUCCAGAAAUCAAGAAAUAUCAAAAUAUCCUUACAUUAAAAGAUUCAAGACAUGAAAAUGUUUCCUGGCCAAAGACAGAACAAUUGGAGCAUCAUUAAAGAUAAUAAUUGUCACGUAUUUAUAUUUAUUAAAAAUUUUAAAUGCAUUAGUUUAUAAUAGGUUAAAAAACAAAAAAUAAAAAAUACUUUAUCAUUUUUCCACAUGUUUUUCCAUUAUUGUAUAUUUUUGAAGGAUAUCAGAAAAUUAUCUUGUUAUUUUGAAAGUUGGUAAAUAAAGAGAAAGAAUACAGUAUUUAUUUUGCCUUUCAUAAUAAUCUAUAUCUCAGGUUAACUAUUUGUUGAUAAGUUUCUUUUUCUAAUAGCAUUUGUUUCAGCUAAUAAAGGAUUAGGAAUGACAGAACUAGAAUAUGACAAUUUUUGUAACUGCUCAUGGAUUUAUGGAUCUAGGCAAUAAUCAUCUAUGGCUACCAACAUCCCAAAGAGACAAACCAGCAUUGGAUAGUUCAUGAAGAAAUCAUACAACACCAUGUGUGAAGUUAUCUUGGGAAACAAUGCACCCUGAAUCAUAUUGAGCCUUUAGAUCUAAGUACUAUUUAAUAAGAAACCAUUACAAGCAACCAUGGAGAUGCAAUCACCAGGAGCAGCUUGUGAGGAAUUCUACAAGUCAGACAACUCUUUUUCCUCAACAAAUGACCUGCAAGGCAAAAAAAGUACAGAUGGAGAUGGAAGCCUACAAAGUAAAAGUGACUUAUGACCUAGGUAAUGGGUUGAUAGGUUCAGCAAACCACCAUGGCACAUGUUUACCCGUGUAAGAAACCUGCACAUCCUGCACAUAUAUCCAGGAACUUAAAAUAAAAUAAUGUUUUAAAAGUGACUUAUGAAUGUGCUUUAUUUGAAUCCUGACUCAAAUGAGUAAGCUGUAAAAAACAGAAGAAUUUUCUAUUCUUUCCCUACCAAGUCAGCCUUACUUAUUUAUUUUAUCUUCCUAUUCAUAAUAAGCACUAUAUAUGUGUUCCCUAUUCUAAUAUAAAACUACCUUUUCUUUUUUCCAAAUUAGUAAGUAUAGGACUUGAGCAUUCAAAAGACUCUAAGUAACAUAAAAACAGAAAUUUUAUCUAUUUUGUUUACUGUUUUGUCUUCACUGCUGAGAACAUUAUCUGGAAAUUAGUAGAUGCUUAAUUAAUAUCUGUUGAGUGAAUGACUCAUAUUUAGUUACAUUUAGAGUUGGAAUUUGUCCCAGGUUUUCUGAUUUCCAACCUAGCAUAAGUGCCCCUUCACCACUUUACUAGAUGCUAUCCAUAACCUGCCCUGAUAAUCCCUUGACCCACCUUAGUUUAUGCAUCAAGGCAGUUUCCAGCAUGGUCUCAGCUUCCCACCCCAAGCAUCCAGUUUUUUCUUCUUCCUUGCCUGAAGGUUUUCUUCAGUGGGUAAGUAGGCACAAUCCAGAAUUGCGUAACCCUAGGAAAGCCUCAGGAGCAAACCUUAACAAAUGGGAAAUUGGAGUCAGUGUAUAAAUGCUCUAGCCUUUCAACCCUCCGAUGAGGUUUUUUUUUGAGAUAUGUUUCACUUGGUGUCCUAGAGGAUUCCUGAGAGACCUGAACCCAGUUCUCCAUGACAAUUACGUGAUCAGGGAAACUUUAACAUAUCUGUGCCUUAUCCCUAUAACUUAUGUAAUAACAGCUUUCUGUAGUGGAAAGAAAACAGCUGUUCCAAAAUCUUCAUAUAUAUUGAAUCUCCACAAGUCCUUACAAAAUAAGUGCUAACUUAGGUAUUUUUAAUUUAGAGAUGAGAAAACUGAAGCUCCAAGUGGCUAACUAAUUUAUCCAGUACUUAUACCCGUAGAGUAGAUACUGUUGGGCCAGGAUUUCUAUUCAGCUCUGUGAAAAUACAGAUGCCAUGAACUUUCAGCCAUAGAGUGGUGCAUUCCUGCAUUUCUAGACUAAGGUGGCCAAAAGAACUUAAUUAAAUUAUUGGUUCAAUCGUUCACUGAAGAAUCUCAAUGUCAUGCAGUUCAUUAACAAGCAUCUGAUUCUUCAGCAUUCUGGUGCUUGUACUGAAGAAAAGAUUUAUAUGUUAUAAAUCACUACUCCUUGUCUUUUCAUUAUUUCUCUCAAGUUCUUAAGGGGAAUGAUGAUGAAGAAUAGAAAAAUAGGGAGAAAUAGUAGAAGGAUAAAAUCAAAACCUUUUAACAGUUUUAGCCUCAAAGCUAUUUUGAAGAUAAAUGACAUAUCUAGGGUACAGAGUUAAUCUUUGACAAAAGACAAGCCCCUUGUGGGAUUUUCUAUUUGCUUGUUUUACUGAUUAUUUUUAUUUUGUCCUGACAGGAUUUUGCACCAUCAGAUACAUUUUGAUAUUAGAAGAUAAAGAGAUUGGCCCGAAACUGGGAUGGAGGAGAAGCAGCCAAAGAGUUGUUCUGUUUCUUAAGUUACUUUGAAGGUUGUACACUUUUAAUAUUCAUUUUGAGGAAUAAAUAAUUUAGACAUCCAAUUAAAUAC